AUUGAACGCUGGCGGCAUGCUUUACACAUGCAAGUCGAACGGCAGCGCGGGCUUCGGCCUGGCGGCGAGUGGCGAACGGGUGAGUAAUGCAUCGGAACGUGCCCAGUAGUGGGGGAUAGCCCGGCGAAAGCCGGAUUAAUACCGCAUACGACCUGAGGGUGAAAGCGGGGGACCGAAAGGCCUCGCGCUAUUGGAGCGGCCGAUGUCGGAUUAGCUAGUUGGUGGGGUAAAGGCUUACCAAGGCGACGAUCCGUAGCUGGUCUGAGAGGACGACCAGCCACACUGGGACUGAGACACGGCCCAGACUCCUACGGAGGCAGCAGUGGGGAAUUUUGGACAAUGGGGGCAACCCUGAUCCAGCCAUGCCGCGUGCGGGAAGAAGGCCUUCGGGUUGUAAACCGCUUUUGUUCGGGAAGAAAUCCUCUGGGCUAAUACCCCGGGGGGAUGACGGUACCGGAAGAAUAAGCACCGGCUAACUGCGUG
rnacentral:rRNA from 1 species